rnacentral:rRNA from 1 species
UACGAAGGGGGCUAGCGUUGUUCGGAAUUACUGGGCGUAAAGCGCACGUAGGCGGAAUGUUAAGUCAGGGGUGAAAUCCCGGGGCUCAACCCCGGAACUGCCUUUGAUACUGGCAUUCUCGAGUCCGGAAGAGGUGUGUGGAAUUCCGAGUGUAGAGGUGAAAUUCGUAGAUAUUCGGAGGAACACCAGUGGCGAAGGCGGCUCACUGGUCCGGUACUGACGCUGAGGUGCGAAAGCGUGGGGAGCAAACAGG